CUCACCAGCUGGCUAAUAUCAUAAUUAACAAAGUUGCUUCUAUGUCUGCAAAGUUUAAUGGAGAAAUUUGCCAGUACUAUGAUGAUAUUGUCACAAAGAUUACAAGAGGACACGCAGCUGACUUUUGCUCAAGGUGGAAUGGCAAACCUGUGUAGACAAGAUGAGAAAUCUCGAACUUACUCACCCCAAGGAGACUAAUAAUGAAGGGCUGGGGAAGGAGGCCAGUGCUACCAGGGUUAUCUCAAAGCCUCAGAUGCUGGAUAAGUCGGAGGAGGCAGAAUCGCUUUGGGAUGACAUUCAGAAAGGCUGGCGGGAUUAUUUGGAAGAGAAAAGCCUGCCUGUUCUUUUCCAAGGUGUAUUCCCUCAGUUCUGUCCACUGAUGAAUUCUUAGCAUCUUGCCUUAGACAAAGGCUGUGCUUGGAACCCCACCACCCCUAAAACCAUGCUUUGAAGGAUCUGCCAUGCUCACUUUUAAUCACGGAAAGAAAUUACCCACAUGGAGUCAGCAGAAAAUGAGAAAGUGGAACUCGUGCUGAGAAUAAUUCCAGCAAGUGCCAAGGGUCUAGUUGAGGAAUGACUUCAUGAGGAGAAUUAUUCAUAGUUCACCAGUCAGGUAGGCAGCACUCGGUCCUCCUGUGUCUUCUUUCUCCCUGUGGUCUUUCUUCUGAAUCAAAGAAGAAAGAGUCAAAUCAGACCUGACUUCUUGGAAAUGUGGUCCAGAUUGCUCUACUCCCAAGCUCCAAACAGGUAUUCAUUGGGGUAGCAAGACAAGUACCUCCUCAGAUUCAAGAAUGCACUGAGAGUUGUCUUUCACCUAAAAGUGUAGUGCAGUAGAGAAACACUUGGUGGUUAAGAAAGGAUGACAUUAGAAUGAAGUGGGUUCCAGUUUCUCUACCACUUUUCUGUUACCUGGACAAGUUAUUAACAUGCUGUGAUCCUAAGAAAAGGAAAAAAAUACCUUGUAAAAAUAUUUUCUCAGAAAAAAAAUGGAGUAAUGUAUAUAUGCCUAUAAAGCUUGUUUAUAAGUGUAAUGAACUAUUAGUUUCUCUCCCUUUCUCUCUUCCCUCUCUGUUCCUUUUUAUCCUCUCUCAUCCCUUCCUCUCUCCUCUCAAGGUUAGUCUAAAAACAGCACCUUUGAGAAAGAAAAGAGUUCUUCAAGGACGUCUAGUUGCACCUCCUUCUCAUAUGUGGCUACAAAGCCUAGGGUGGAUCAAUGGCUUAUCUUUAUUUAACUGUUUAAAUAUUGAUAAUUAAGCUGUAUUCAGUUUUUACUGUUUUGUGUACACUUGUUUCUAUUUUCUUGUUUUUAUAUUGACUGUUGACUUCUGCUCAUUUUGAACUGAUUUUCUGUUAAUUUUUAAGAAAAUUCAAUAAAAAAU